rnacentral:tRNA from 1 species
GGGGAUGUAGUUAAAAAUAACAUUUAAUUUGCAAUUAAAAAGUACUUUAUAGUCUUCCUCA